CACCACAACGGGUGGAGCCUGCGGUUUAAUUGGAUUCAAACGCCGGACAACUCACCGGAUACGACAGCGGAAUGAUAGUCGGGCUGAAGACUCUACUUGACUAGCUGAGAGGAGGUGCAUGGCCGUCGUCAGUUCGUACUGUGAAGCAUCCUGUUAAGUCAGGCAACGAGCGAGACCCACGCCAACAGUUGCCAGCAUGGUCUUCGGACUGAUGGGGACACUGUUGGGACCGCCUCUGCUAAAGGGGAGGAAGGAAUGGGCAACGGUAGGUCAGCAUGCCCCGAAUUAUCCGGGCUACACGCGGGCUACAAUGGAUGGGACAAUGGGUUUCGACACCGAAAGGUGAAGGUAAUCUCCUAACCCCACCCUUAGUUCGGAUUGCGGGCUGCAACUCGCCCGCAUGAAGCUGGAAUCCGUAGUAAUCGCGUCUCAAGAUGGCGCGGUGAAUAUGUCCCUGCUCCUU
rnacentral:rRNA from 1 species